CUUAAAUGUUCCAAAUGAGCAGCUAAAAAUCCCAAAAUCUCCCCCUAUGAAUGAUGAAUUGAGAGUCUCAACUGGCUCAAGAACUCUUGAACCUGUUGCAUAAGGUCUGAUUCGAGGAAGAUCAUACACCAUUAGGCUUGAUGACCAAGUUCUACUAAGAUUCUCACCCACAAAACCUGAAUCAACUUAUUACUUUGGUGAUAUGAUAGGUGGAACUCUUACCUUUUUCCACGAGGAAGAAACUAGAAGAUGUCUUGAGCUUUCAGUAACCUUGGAGUUAUCCGAGACUAUAAGUCGUCGCUCUGCACAUCCUUCUAGAAAAUAUUCCCCAACAAUUACAAAG